AUGUGGGUGGAGCUCCUCCUCACCACUCUGUUAUUAUUAUUACAUGUAGGUGGAGCUCCUCCUCACCACUCUGUUAUUAUUAUUACAUGUAGGUGGAGCUCCUCCUCAUCACUCUGUUAUUAUUAUUACUACAUGUAGGUGGAGCUCCUCCUCACCACUCUGUUAUUAUUAUUACUACAUGUAGGUGGAGCUCCUCCUCACCACUCUGUUAUUAUUACAUGUAGGUGGAGCUCCACCUCACCACUCUGUUAUUAUUAUUACAUGUAGGUGGAGCUCCUCCUCACCACUCUGUUAUUAUUAUUACAUAUAGGUGGAGCUCCUCCUCAUCACUCUGGUAUUAUUAUUACAUGUAGGUGGAGCUCCUCCUCAUCACUCUGUUAUUAUUAUUACAUGUAGGUAGAGCUCCUCCUCACCACUCUGUUAUUAUUAUUACAUGUAGGUAGAGCUCCUCCUCACCACUCUGUUAUUAUUACAUGUAGGUGGAGCUCCUCCUCAUCACUCUGGUAUUAUUAUUACAUGUAGGUGGAGCUCCUCCUCACCACUCUGUUAUUAUUAUUACUACAUGUAGGUGGAGCUCCUCCUCACCACUCUGUUAUUAUUAUUACUACAUGUAGGUGGAGCUCCUCCUCACCACUCUGUUAUUAUUAUUACUACAUGUAGGUGGAGCUCCUCCUCAUCACUCUGUUAUUAUUAUUACAUGUAGUUGGAGCUCCUCCUCACCACUCUGUUAUUAUUAUUAUUACAUGUAGGUGGAGCUCCUCCUCACCACUCUUAUUAUUACUACAUGUAGGUGGAGCUCCUCCUCAUCACUCUGUUAUUAUUAUUACUACAUGUAGGUGGAGCUCCUCCUCAUCACUCUGUUAUUAUUAUUACUACAUGUAGGUGGAGCUCCUCCUCACCACUCUGUUAUUAUUAUUACUACAUGUAGGUGGAGCUCCACCUAACCACUCUGUUAUUAUUACAUGUAGACCCUACUUUACUUUACUGGCUUGAUUGUCCCUGUGGGGAAAUGUUGUUGCAGUGUCUUGUACACGUUUAAAGUGGCAUUUAAAUACAAAACAAAUUGACAAUACAACUUUCAUAACAGUUACAUAGCAAUAAAACUUGGCAGUUAAAAGCUAAAUAUCAGCACUUACAAGUUUGAACCCAAAAAACAUACAAAUCUGCAUGGAUGGGAGCUGAAGGGUGGAGGGUUGUCUGAGAGUUGAAACAGAACAGAUGGUACUGAGAACGGAGGAAGCGUUCCAGGUCUCGGAGGGAGCCAGUCAGUCAGAGACAGUCAGAUCCGCAGCCUCAGCAACGCACCUCACUGUCCCCUGGCGUCCAGUUUGCUCCGGCUUUGUUGAUGCUGGUUAGCCACUCCUCU
rnacentral:lncRNA from 1 species